UCAAUUCUUGAAGUCAUUGUUGUGCUUAGGAUGAACUGUGAAAUGGUCAUCUUCCAGAUUUCAAUGGUUGUUAGUGCUGCUUGGAUGAAACUGCACACUGGCACAAACUGUGCAAUGCUGACAAGAUACAUAAUUUUAUAUAUGUACAUAUAUCAUUUUUCCCAAGAUACAAAGGUGCAUUUACAGUUGUUUACUCAGUGGAGUUUCAUUAGACUAGGGGAAUAUCACAGAAAGUCAGAGCAUGCUGACACAGACAUCAGAUGCAGUUUUGAGCAUGAGAGUAGAUGAAAGCACAGGAAGUAUUACCUCCAGUUUCCUGCAGAAAGUGCCUUCAGUGAUUUCACUACUUUUUGCAUCAUUAAUCAGAAAAAGGGGGAAGAAUGCUGAAGGUAGUAUAGAUACAGUAAACAGAACAAUUAAUCUAAUUAUUCAUUUCUAGAAAAAAAAUGAAAAAUACUCUUUUAAAAGAACCAAAUGAAAGUAUUUCUACUGUAUGAGCUUUAGGACAUGUUUUGACACACCAGUAAUAGAAGAUCAAUUUAUGAAGUACAAUGCAAUGGAUAAAGAAAACCACAGAUCUCUAGAACUCAAACAGCAAGUGUCACAACUGAGAAGAAUGUGAGAGAUGGAAGAACUUUCAUUGCUGCAAUGUCAUACUUGCUAAUAUUAGCAAUGAAUCAAUCAAACAAACAAACAGAUUGAACAAGAAUAGAGCUGAAGUGCCAAAACAGUGAAAGCUGCUAGAGCUGCUGAGGGAAGAAACCUCAUAGGAAUACUGUGUGGAGGACUUUGGCAGGGAGGAGUGACAUAUCACAACAGCAAAACAACCAAACCAUCCCCCAACACACACAAACCCCAAACAAAAGAACAAAUCCAAACCCCCAAUAAUUAGAGGGAACGGGUAGAUCCAGAGAAAGAUAAAUCUACGCAAUGUAGAGGUCACAGAAUAAAAGAUUGAGCACUGCACUUCUAACCAUGUGAUGCAGUUAGGAAAGGUCAAAUAUUUCAGAGAGAAGUGCAAAUAUGCCAUCCAGGAAUAUGUGUUAUGAUUUGACUCAAGUCAGCAACUAAACCCCACAAUGCUGCUUGGUCACUCCACACCAGUGGGAUUGGGGAGCAAAUUGGAAGGUUAAAAGCUAGAAAACCUGUGGAUUGAGAUAAAGACAGGUUAAUAGAAAAAGCAAAAGCUGCCCACAAAAGCAAAGCAAAGCAAGGAAUUAACUCCCUGCUUCCCAUGGCAGGCAAGUGCUCAGCCAUCCCCAGGAGAGCAGGGCCCCAUCUUGCAUAAUGGUGACUUGGGAUAACAAACACCAUCACUCCAAACAUAUCCCUCUUCCUCCUACUUCCACCCCACUUUAUCUACUGAGCAUGGUGGUCUGGAAUAUCCCUUUGGACAGCUGGGGUCAGCUGUCCCAGCUGUAUAUUCUCCCAAAUCUUUGUGCACUGCCAGCCUGGUUGCUGAUGUGGUUGGAGAAGCAGAAAGGGCCCUGGCUCUGUGUAAGACCUGCUCAGCAAUAACAAAAAUAUCCCCAUGUUAUCAACACUGUGUUCAGAACAAAUCCAAACCACACUGGGAAGGAAUUUAACUCCAUCCCCAUGCAAAACCAUCACAGAAAUUAAAUACCUACAUCUGUUUAGAGCUCCUCCUCUCUGUUCAGCAGAGACCCAUUCAAGACAGGGAUAUUCCAGUGGUUUGUGUGUCAAGAGGUACAUCAUGAUAUACCAGAUCUGCAUAUUUCAUAUCAACUCAGUGGUUGUCCAUUGGUUUUGUUGAGCUGCCUCCUGAAUGAAGAUUUUAGGCAAGCUGUGAUUGGUGUACCUGAUCAAACCAUGAUGCACAGCAAAAUCUGAGUUUUCUGGUAAUUUAUUAUUUACUUCUGAUGUUCUUUUCAUUACUGGCUGCAGUAUUAGUACCAGAUGAGUUUCAUGAAGUGUUGCAUGUCAUGAGGAAAAGGCUUCACUGAUAAAAAACCCCACUUGUCAGAUGAGUUCUGCUGCAGUAUGGCAAACACAUUAAAAAAAUUCACAGCCUAAACACGGUGUGGGGCAGACAAUUUCUUGAAAAAGAAAAACCAAAACAGGAAAAGAGCACCACACCAUUCUAAAGCACCCAGAAGGCAUGCUGUCAAGAAACUAGAAAUCAUCUCCAGCUAUGUGAGCAUGUAAUGGAAGUGCCUGAGGCUUUUUACUCCUGGACUACCCAAGGUCUUGGCCCUGUUUACCAUGAGAAAAUAUCUACAGAGACAUCAGCCAUGAAUUGAUCUGUGCAUGUAACUAGAGUUCACAGCUGCCCAGAGCUUCACAGAGCAGGCAGAAUAACAGAACCAUUUGUUUCCUUCAGGAAGUGCCUGGCCUGGCCCUUCCUUCUCUGUGAGUGAAGUGAGACUGUGCCAUCAUCAAAGAAGCCCUCGGGAAACUUCCAAGAGGCAUCUGGUCUGAUUUAACCUCACCAUUACAGUAAGAUCCACAGCUACCAGGUCACUUUCUGUGGUAGCUUCCAGCAGCAAAACCAACUUUUCUGAGCAGCAGAUCCUAGCACAGCUGAUGUUACACACAAAGCUCUCUUGUAGGUCCACUCUAAGUAUUGAUGCAAUAAUGUCUUCCUGGAGCCUUUUCUUCCUCAGGCUGAACAAUCCCCAGCUAUCUC